rnacentral:rRNA from 1 species
CUUGGUCAUUUAGAGGAAGUAAAAGUCGUAACAAGGUCUCCGUAGGUGAACCUGCGGAGGGAUCAUUACAAGAACGCCCGGGCUUCGGCCUGGUUAUUCAUAACCCUUUGUUGUCCGACUCUGUUGCCUCCGGGGCGACCCUGCCUUCGGGCGGGGGCUCCGGGUGGACACUUCAAACUCUUGCGUAACUUUGCAGUCUGAGUAAACUUAAUUAAUAAAUUAAAACUUUUAACAACGGACCUCUUGGUUCUGGCAUCGAUGAAGAACGCAGCGAAAUGCGAUAAGUAAUGUGAAUUGCAGAAUUCAGUGAAUCAUCGAAUCUUUGAACGCACAUUGCGCCCCCUGGUAUUCCGGGGGGCAUGCCUGUUCGAGCGUCAUUUCACCACUCAAGCCUCGCUUGGUAUUGGGCAACGCGGUCCGCCGCGUGCCUCAAAUCGUCCGGCUGGGUCUUCUGUCCCCUAAGCGUUGUGGAAACUAUUCGCUAAAGGGUGUUCGGGAGGCUACGCCGUAAAACAACCCCAUUUCUAAGGUUGACCUCGGAUCAGGUAGGGAUACCCGCUGAACUUAAGCAUAUCAAUAAGCGGAGGA